rnacentral:rRNA from 1 species
CCUACGGGGGGCAGCAGUGAGGAAUAUUGGUCAAUGGCCGGAAGCCUGAACCAGCCAAGUAGCGUGCAGGAUGACGGCCCUACGGGUUGUAAACUGCUUUUAUACGGGAAUAACGCGCCUUACGUGUAGUGCUUUGCAUGUACCGGAUGAAUAAGCACCGGCUAAUUCCGUGCCAGCAGCCGCGGUAAUACGGAAGGUCCGGGCGUUAUCCGGAUUUAUUGGGGUUAAAGGGUGCGUAGGCCGCAUGUCAAGCGUGCUGUGAAAUGUCCGGGCUCAACCCCGGCAUUGAAGCGCAAACUGGAGUGCUUGAGUGCGCGGAAAGCAGGCGGAAUGCGUGGUGUAGCGGUGAAAUGCUUAGAUAUGACGAAGAACCCCGAUUGCGAAGGCAGCUUGCUGGAGCGGAACUGACGCUGAUGCUCGAAAGCGCGGGUAUCGAACAGGAUUAGAUACCCCAGUAGUC